rnacentral:rRNA from 1 species
UACGGAGGUUGCAAGCGUUGUCCGGAAUCACUGGGCGUAAAGGGCGCGUAGGCGGCUCAUGAAGUCUGUGGUGAAAGUCCGGGGCUCAACCUCGGAUCGGCCGUGGCGACUCGUGGGCUGGAGCACUGUAGAGGCGGGUGGAAUUCCGGGUGUAGCGGUGGAAUGCGUAGAGAUCCGGAAGAACACCAGUGGCGAAGGCGGCCCGCUGGGCAGUGGCUGACGCUGAGGCGCGACAGCGUGGGGAGCAAACAGG